rnacentral:rRNA from 1 species
AUUGAACGCUGGCGGCAUGCUUUACACAUGCAAGUCGAACGGCAGCGCGGGCUUCGGCCUGGCGGCGAGUGGCGAACGGGUGAGUAAUGCAUCGGAACGUGCCCAGUAGUGGGGGAUAGCCCGGCGAAAGCCGGAUUAAUACCGCAUACGACCUGAGGGUGAAAGCGGGGGACCGAAAGGCCUGGGGCUAUUGGAGGGGCCGAUGUCGGAUUAGCUAGUUGGUGGGGUAAAGGCUUACCAAGGCGACGAUCCGUAGCUGGUCUGAGAGGACGACCAGCCACACUGGGACUGAGACACGGCCCAGACUCCUACGGGAGGCAGCAGUGGGGAAUUUUGGACAAUGGGGGCAGCCCUGAUCCAGCCAUGCCGCGUGCGGGAAGAAGGCCUUCGGGUUGUAAACCGCUUUUGUUCGGGAAGAAAUCCUCUGGGCUAAUACCCCGGGGGGAUGACGGUACCGGAAGAAUAAGCACCGGCUAACUACGUG